GGGAACAGUUUCCAAGCCAUUAAAAUGUUAUUCUUCCAAGUCUUCCCCUGUUGGUAACAGGGGAAGGGAGACAAAAUGCAGCGUCAUUUAGGCUUUGCCUAAAAUGAAUGGACACUCUUCAGCAACACACGAUGUGAAACUGAUCACGAGUUUCCUGAAAUCAGAGUCCUGACUUGCCUGACGAUGUGUGUGACGGAUACAAGUAGAGGAAUAUCUCAUCAGUACGAUGUUCAUGGAUUUGAAACUGGAGGGAUUUGGUUAUGCGAAUUCUACUUUCAAAAAGAAUAUUCUUCCUGUUGAUCCGAAGUUACAAAUGCAGAAUAUUGACAUUGCAAAGUGUAUAAAAGGAUGACUAGAAUUGAAGGAAUCUGGGUGAAUCUUUUGCCAAAUUAUUAAUAAAUUUGCAUUAAAUCACCCAAUUUCAACACUUUUCUCUGAAGAAAUAAUGGAUUCAGUGUGUGAUAUUAGGCAAGAAUAGACUAUGAAAAGCCCUGGGGACCUCCUGCUUAUAUUCUGGAACCCAUGGUGGGAAAAGUUUUAUCAUUUUGAAAGUCAAGGAAACGCCUACUUCAUUUUUUGAAAUAAGACAUUUUCUUAACUAGAAAUGAGGUGAAGGCCAAGGGAAGCUGCUGCUGCGUCAUCUCUCCAUCACGAGUGUGUCAUUCCCUCACGAGAGCAGGUCACAUCCCUAAACUCCUUACCUGAAUCAAGCCCUAAAAAACAAUGUCAACGUUUCUAUGCUCUUGUUUAAUUUUCUUAGGAGGUUAAGUUCUCAGCCGUUUCAGACAAUUGCUUUGGCUUUUGACCUUCACUGUACCUGCAACAGGUGUCCUUAUCAAAAUAAUUCCGCAAAUCUCCUGCUGGUUUAACCCAUCUCAUAAUUCCUAUGAACAUGUCACUCUAUCAUGUUUCUAGAGUUGUGGCUUCUUUUCAUUUUGCUUUCCUUUUGUGUACAAUAGUGGGUCCCCAACAGCAAAGGCAAGUUAGUGAAAACUUGAUAGGGAGAGAAUUUGCAACUGACAUUCUUAAAAAUGAGAGGAAAAAGUUAGAGAGUCCAUAAAUAUUAUUUUCACUAAAAAGACAGAAUACUGAAAAAGAUGACAAGUGCUAUUUCCCAUGUCACAUGAAUACCAAACAGUUCCAUAAAAUUACUCUCUCACCAUUCCUUACUUUCCAGCAAUGCAAACCCCAUGCCAAGAAUUUCAAGGUGAAGUUCAACUCUAUUUUAGCUCUGAUGUAGG
rnacentral:lncRNA from 1 species